rnacentral:rRNA from 1 species
UACGGAGGGGGCUAGCGUUGUUCGGAAUUACUGGGCGUAAAGCGUGCGCAGGCGGUUUUGUAAGUCAGAUGUGAAAUCCCCGGGCUUAACCUGGGAAUGGCAUUUGGGACUGCAAGGCUUGAGUGCGGCAGAGGAGACUGGAAUUCCUGGUGUAGCAGUGAAAUGCGUAGAUAUCAGGAGGAACACCGAUGGCGAAGGCAGGUCUCUGGGCUGACACUGACGCUCAUGCACGAAAGCGUGGGGAGCAAACAGG